GGAAAAAUGAGAGUACUAUAGAAGGCUGCUGCAAAAGGCUGCCUUGAUCAUUAGUUGGUGAUGUUUGGGAGAUUGAGAGUAGGAUAGGAUAAUUUGUUCAUCUGCGCUGGCACUGACUUCUAUCCAUUUUGAGAGGAAAGCAGAUUUGGGUUCCAACUAAUCCUCGAGGGACUGAAAGCCUAGCGCCUGGUAUCAUUGCAUCUGAGUCGGAUUUCUAUCUUCGACGACUAUGAGGUCUGCCCAGUGAGGUGUGCAUCUACUACUCUUAACUUUAGUAUGAAUAACACGUCCUGUUUUGUUUAAGAAUUGGAUUAUUUUUUCAAACCUGUUCACUAAUCUUAGCCUUUUCUUUUUGAGGUGGAACUUGUAGGACUUACUUGUCAAGCCAAAGUAUCUUGUAACCUUUACCCUAGGUUGUGCUCAGAAAAAUAACGUUGAUGCAGCAGUUAAAUGGGUCAGUUCUCUCAACAAUAGCGAAGUUCACUUGUAAGAUUGGCAUGACAUGUUUAAGCUCUUUGGAAACAAAGUGUUCAAACACUUUUCAAAGUUUGAGUCCCAACAUUUGUUCAAAAUUGUAUAAAAGAUAAGUUAUGCAAAUUUGUAGUAUAUUCUUAUAUCAAAGAUAUUACAAUUUGUUUCC